UACGUAGGGGGCAAGCGUUGUCCGGAUUUAUUGGGCGUAAAGCGCUCGCAGGUGGUUCAUUGCGUCGUGCGUGAAAGACCCCGGCUCAACUGGGGAGGGUCGUGCGAAACGGGUGAACUAGAGGCCAGUAGGGGGAUGUGGAAUUCCGGGUGUAGUGGUGGAAUGCGUAGAGAUCCGGAGGAACACCAGCGGCGAAGGCGGCAUCCUGGACUGGUCCUGACACUCAGGAGCGAAAGCGUGGGGAGCGAGCCGG
rnacentral:rRNA from 1 species